rnacentral:ncRNA from 1 species
GUAAAUGCGUUUGAGAAAAAAGUAGUAGAUAAUUAACUUGGUCAGCGAAUCUGUGGUUGGUGUGAACAGAGAAGGUCAAUUAUUCGAAUUCAUUUUUCGAGCUGAAAUUGGGAGUUAUUUAUAACGAAAAAUUUUCCGGUAAUCACCGUUAACGAUUCUAAGUGUGUCAUUUCUUAAGAUGGCAAAUUAGGGUGGUACCGCGUUGCUUCGUCCCUUUG